rnacentral:rRNA from 1 species
AACGAACGCUGGCGGCAUGCCUAACACAUGCAAGUCGAACGACACCUUCGGGUCUAGUGGCGCACGGGUGCGUAACGCGUGGGAACCUGCCCUUAGGUUCGGAAUAACUCCCCGAAAGGGGUGCUAAUACCGGAUAAUGUCUUCGGACCAAAGAUUUAUCGCCUUUGGAUGGGCCCGCGUUGGAUUAGCUAGUUGGUAGGGUAAAAGCCUACCAAGGCGACGAUCCAUAGCUGGUCUGAGAGGAUGAUCAGCCACACUGGGACUGAGACACGGCCCAGACUACUACGGGAGGCAGCAGUGGGGAAUAUUGGACAAUGGGCGAAAGCCUGAUCCAGCAAUGCCGCGUGAGUGAUGAAGGCCUUAGGGUUGUAAAGCUCUUUUACCCGGGAUGAUAAUGACAGUACCGGGAGAAUAAGCUCCGGCUAACUCCGUG